UGCCGUGCGUCAUACGUCUGGAGUAUAAAAAUUGAUCUCGACCCGCUUGGGUAAACCAUUUUGGAUUGAGCAUCAAUACGGUGGGGUGGGAAAAAAGAUAACCGCUCAAAAUGACGAAAAUUGUGGUAAUUUACCUUGGAGUUCUUCUUCUGGCUGCACACAUCACAAAACCGGUGGUUGCUCAAAAUAAUACCACAGGAGCGAACACGACGGUUACUACUGCGGAGCCGGUCUCAAAUGCCAGCUUGACUACCGUGGCCGAUAACUCCUCCAGCAGCAGCGUUAACGCCACCACUGCCCCCACCGGGGCAGGCGUUGCGCCUCAGUCCGGUAUUCUGAGCCUGCUACUACCAGUGUCUAUUGUGGGCACUCUCAUGCACGGUCGCUGUUAAAGGAUGGGGAUGAUAAAACUGAGACCACCAAGACUGUGACGAUCAGCGGCUAAGACAGUGAACAUCCAAAGAGCAUACUUUUUUAAAUUCUCGGGAAUCGGUCUCCCGGCUUCGUGUGUGUGUGUCGAGAUGGGAGUGACUCUAUUCACUGACGGAAAGUGGGCAACAACAGACGGUCUUUCUUCCACGCAAGGUGCACAUUUACAUGUGUUCAUACUAAAUCCCUGGCGUCCAGAAACCCCGUCCCGUGUACUCGAAGGAAAGCACUAACACCUUGCUUUGAACUCCAAAACACACAGGUGGAGAUUGAUGCGCAACGAGGAUGUACAAAAUUCCGCUCUUUGGCACUUUUUUCAGUUCACCUCAAGCCACUGUUUGUACCUGUGUCUUUGUAUUGGACAGUAGCCUAAUUUUUGAAACGCUUAAUCUCACAAGUGCCCAGGAAGUCAGCACUCAUGUUGGUCGAGGCGCCUUGUGAUUUUCUUGCGCUCAAUGUACCAUUUGCAAAACCAACGGUUAAACGAUUUGCCCGUAUUUUAGGCUACGGAUUUCCAACAGGUGCAUGAACAUGAAUUGUGAUUAGCCUAAUUAUAAUUGUUUUAUAAUAAAAGUGGAAACCCUGUUUAAAUGUAUGUAAUUCUGUAGUUUUUUUGUAAAAAAACAAAACAAAACAAUAGGCUGUAUUAAAUGUCAUUGUAUUGCGUUCGUUAUUGUAAUUUGAUUUUGUCCUGCUUUGUCGACAAUAAAACUCCCAAAAUACA